rnacentral:rRNA from 1 species
AUUGAACGCUGGCGGCAGGCCUAACACAUGCAAGUCGAGCGGAUGAAGGGAGCUUGCUCCUGGAUUCAGCGGCGGACGGGUGAGUAAUGCCUAGGAAUCUGCCUGGUAGUGGGGGAUAACGUCCGGAAACGGGCGCUAAUACCGCAUACGUCCUGAGGGAGAAAGUGGGGGAUCUUCGGACCUCACGCUAUCAGAUGAGCCUAGGUCGGAUUAGCUAGUUGGUGGGGUCAAGGCCUACCCAGGCGACGAUCCGUAACUGGUCUGAGAGGAUGAUCAGUCACACUGGCACUGAGACACGGUCCAGACUCCUACGGUAGGCAGCAGUGGGGAAUAUUGGACGAUGGGCGAAAGCCUGAUCCAGCCAUGCCGCGUGUGUGAAGAAGGUCUUCGGAUUGUAAAGCACUUUAAGUUGGGAGAAAGGGAAGUAAGUUAAUACCUUGCUGUUUUGACGUUACCAACAGAAUAAGCACCGGCUAACUUCGUG